rnacentral:siRNA from 1 species
GGUUGAUAAAGUUGUUUGUAUGGU